CCCCCUCCCAGAGUUUUGAUCAUGGCUCAGGACGAACGCUGGCGGCGUGCCUAAUACAUGCAAGUCGAGCGGACAGAAGGGAGCUUGCUCCCCGGAUGUUAGCGGCGGACGGGUGAGUAACACGUGGGUAACCUGCCUGUAAGACUGGGAUAACUCCGGGAAACCGGAGCUAAUACCGGAUAGUUCCUUGAACCGCAUGGUUCAAGGAUGAAAGACGGUUUCGGCUGUCACUUACAGAUGGACCCGCGGCGCAUUAGCUAGUUGGUGAGGUAACGGCUCACCAAGGCGACGAUGCGUAGCCGACCUGAGAGGGUGAUCGGCCACACUGGGACUGAGACACGGCCCAGACUCCUACGGGAGGCAGCAGUAGGGAAUCUUCCGCAAUGGACGAAAGUCUGACGGAGCAACGCCGCGUGAGUGAUGAAGGUUUUCGGAUCGUAAAGCUCUGUUGUUAGGGAAGAACAAGUGCAAGAGUAACUGCUUGCACCUUGACGGUACCUAACCAGAAAGCCACGGCUAACUACGUGCCAGCAGCCGCGGUAAUACGUAGGUGGCAAGCGUUGUCCGGAAUUAUUGGGCGUAAAGGGCUCGCAGGCGGUUUCUUAAGUCUGAUGUGAAAGCCCCCGGCUCAACCGGGGAGGGUCAUUGGAAACUGGGAAACUUGAGUGCAGAAGAGGAGAGUGGAAUUCCACGUGUAGCGGUGAAAUGCGUAGAGAUGUGGAGGAACACCAGUGGCGAAGGCGACUCUCUGGUCUGUAACUGACGCUGAGGAGCGAAAGCGUGGGGAGCGAACAGGAUUAGAUACCCUGGUAGUCCACGCCGUAAACGAUGAGUGCUAAGUGUUAGGGGGUUUCCGCCCCUUAGUGCUGCAGCUAACGCAUUAAGCACUCCGCCUGCGAUAUCGACU
rnacentral:rRNA from 1 species